rnacentral:rRNA from 1 species
GACGAACGCUGGCGGCGUGCCUAAUACAUGCAAGUAGGACGCUGAAGGAGGAGCUUGCUUCUCUGGAUGAGUUGCGAACGGAUGAGUAACGCGUAGGUAACCUGCCUGGUAGCGGGGGAUAACUAUUGGAAACGAUAGCUAAUACCGCAUAAGAGUAGAUGUUGCAUGACAUUUACUUAAAAGGUGCAAUUGCAUCACUACCAGAUGGACCUGCGUUGUAUUAGCUAGUUGGUGAGGUAACGGCUCACCAAGGCAACGAUACAUAGCCGACCUGAGAGGGUGAUCGGCCACACUGGGACUGAGACACGGCCCAGACUCCUACGGGAGGCAGCAGUAGGGAAUCUUCGGCAAUGGACGGAAGUCUGACCGAGCAACGCCGCGUGAGUGAAGAAGGAUUUCGGAUCGUAAAGCUCUGUUGUAAGAGAAGAACGAGUGUGAGAGUGGAAAGUUCACACUGUGACGGUAUCUUACCAGAAAGGGACGGCUAACUACGUG